GGGGGUGGACAAAAACAAACAGCGACAUGACACGGCCUCUCCCCCCCACACACAGUGACAGUAAAACCCCUGACCGUGGCGAUCAAGACCACCUCAGAGGGUUGUCAGUUGCUUCGAGCCCCACAGGAAAAAGAAGGGGGAAUGAAAUUAAUUAACAGCAAUUACAGUGUGUGAAGCAGACACUCUUAACACCUUUAUAUUGUGGCUGCUUCAGACAAAAGCUGUCAAUGCAAAUGGAGUUUGAAUACCAGUGCGAACAUUUGGUUUACGGUAUUUUAGAAAGAAUUGCAACUGGAACUGCUUUUCAGGAUUUAUAUCCAGCCCAUCAGCCAAAAAAAAAGCUCUCAGAAUGGCUUACAAAAUUCACUUCAAAGGUGGUCCCUUCCCAACAGCCUACCAGCUAAGAAGAUAUGGCACACAAGGAAAAAAGAAUGGGAAAAGAGGAAGAGAAAGCAAGCUUAAGCACAAGUUCUUAUAGUUGCAGUUUUGGUAAAGAGCAGUCCCUUCCCUGAAGCACUCUUCCCUCUGAUGAGAUCCAGGAGUGGAACUGGUGACAACAUCCAGAAGAUCUGGUCAGCUCCUGCCACACAGUUCAUCCUUAAUGGCUUACUGAAGAUUCAAAGGACAUGAAUCCACCCCCAAAGUCAGUGGCAGUUCAGAAAACUCUUCCCUGCGUUUAUAACCAAGACCUCAGCUGUACUGCAGAGGUGGCAACAAAGCCAUGUGCCAGAAUUUCCAGAAGACCUCAGUGCUUUAGCAUGUAUGUUGGGUGUUGAUCACUUUGGGAAAAUCUGGCCCUCAUUUCUCUGCUGAGCAUUUGACAAUCUGGCCUCAGCUCCUUGAUGUGAAAAUCUGGCUCUGUACGUGGCAGAAAUUAGUCAGAGUAGCAUUUAGCACUGCAGUUAUGCAACAGACAAACUGAGAAGCAUUUGACAAAGCUGCUGAGUUUGUUCUCUUGCUGCGUGUCAGUUCUGUCCUUGAUUCCUCCUCAGCUGCCUGCUUCAAAAUGUACUAUUAUAGGACAGGGAGAAUUGAAUAUUUCUACUGGGUAUAUUUGCUUCGGGGGUGGGGUGACAGCAAUGAAAACUCUGCCCUUUGUUUUUAAAAAUCAAAUUGUUUUUGCUUAUUAACCAUA